UACAGAGGGUGCGAGCGUUAAUCGGAAUUACUGGGCGUAAAGCGUGCGUAGACGGCUAUCUAAGUCGGGUGUGAAAGCCCCGGGCUCAACCUGGGAAUUGCAUUCGAGACUGAAUAGCUAGGGUACGGUAGAGGGAAGCGGAAUUUCCGGUGUAGCGGUGAAAUGCGUAGAUAUCGGAAGGAACAUCAGUGGCGAAAGCGGCCUCCUGGACCAGUACCGACGUUCAGGCACGAAAGCGUGGGGAGCAAACAGG
rnacentral:rRNA from 1 species